rnacentral:rRNA from 1 species
GAUUUCUGGCGUGGUGCCUCCUGUCCGCCACCGACAGGUGCGUGAGUACGGGAGCCGUGCCUGCCAUCCUUCCAGGGAGCGCGUCUGCCCUUCACUGGGUCGGCCGCGCGACCUGGAUCGUUUACUUUGAAAAAAUUAGAGUGUUUAAAGCAGGCGUUCGCUUCUGAAUACAUUAGCAUGGAAUAAUGAAAUAGGACUUUGGUUCUAUUUUGUUGGUUUCUAGGACUGAAGUAAUGAUUGAUAGGGACAGUUGGGGGUGCUAGUAUUCAGCGGCCAGAGGUGAAAUUCUUGGAUUCGCUGAAGACUAACUUAUGCGAAAGCAUU